GUAUUAUACCUCUGCAAAACAGGAGGCUCAUUUCCCAUGUAUUUCGUGCAGAAGAUGGGGCCCUGGACCGGUUGGAUUGCUGUUUUCCUUCUUGCUUUCUCCACAGGGGUUUCAGGUCAGAAAAAUCCUGUCUCCCAGGACCCAUCCAUUUUGGCCAAGGAGGGGGAACCUGUCCUACUCAACUGUUCCUACGGCGAAGCUGCAAACAGCAUUCACUGGUACAAACAGUCCUCUGGUGGCCAGAUUCAGUUUAUGGCCAUAUUGUUUAAAACUUCCUCUGAAUCUCACGGCUACUUUGUGGCGAGUCUGGACACGGCCAAGAAAACCAGCUCCGUUUAUCUGAACAGCACCCGACUCAGCGAUGCUGCCGUCUACUUCUGUGCCAUGGGGCACAGUGAUACACAGACACAUCCUGCCUAGUGCAAAAAGGGUGUGUUCAGCACUUGCGAGACACAGUGAAGUGUUACAGAGGCAGAAAACGAGGCAGGAUUUCAGAAUACAGAUCCAACCCCGUGGACCUUUUGCAGUUCUCCAUUUGAAACAGGCUUUCUCAACGUUUGGCCUCCAGUGGUGAAUUAUCUUAAUUUAAAAUUUUGAUUCAAAGCUCUGUGGAGAAGAACGGGAAAGGUAUUAAGAUUAGUUAGGGGAAGAACUAGAGAGAGGAAUGUCACGCAUUUUCCUUUUUUGUUUGUUUAAAGAA